UACGUAGGGGGCUAGCGUUGUCCGGAAUCAUUGGGCGUAAAGCGCGUGUAGGCGGCCCGGUAAGUCCGCUGUGAAAGUCCAGGGCUCAACCCUGGAAUGCCGGUGGAAACUGUCGAGCUCGAGUCCGGAAGAGGCGAGUGGAAUUCCUGGUGUAGCGGUGAAAUGCGCAGAUAUCAGGAGGAACACCAAUGGCGAAGGCAGCUCGCUGGGACGGUACUGACGCUGAGACGCGAAAGCGUGGGGAGCAAACAGG
rnacentral:rRNA from 1 species